GACGAACGCUGGCGGCGUGCUUAACACAUGCAAGUCGAACGAUGAAGCGGUGCUUGCACCGUGGAUUAGUGGCGAACGGGUGAGUAACACGUGAGUAACCUGCCCCCUUCUUUGGGAUAAGCAUUGGAAACGGUGUCUAAUACUGGAUAUUCAUGCAUGGCCGCAUGGUUGUGUGUGGAAAGGUUUUUUCUGGUGGGGGAUGGGCUCGCGGCCUAUCAGCUUGUUGGUGGGGUGAUGGCCUACCAAGGCUUUGACGGGUAGCCGGCCUGAGAGGGUGACCGGUCACACUGGGACUGAGAUACGGCCCAGACUCCUACGGGAGGCAGCAGUGGGGAAUAUUGCACAAUGGGCGAAAGCCUGAUGCAGCGACGCCGCGUGAGGGAUGACGGCCUUCGGGUUGUAAACCUCUUUCAGUAAGGACGCAGGGCAAUCUUUGGGUUGUUUGACGGUACUUGCAGAAGAAGCGCCGGCUAACUACGUGCCAGCAGCCGCGGUAAUACGUAGGGCGCAAGCGUUGUCCGGAAUUAUUGGGCGUAAAGGGCUCGUAGGCGGCGUGUCGCGUCUGUCGUGAAAACCAAUGGCUUAACUGUUGGCUUGCGGUGGGUACGGGCAUGCUUGAGUGCGGUAGGGGAGACUGGAAUUCCUGGUGUAGCGGUGGAAUGCGCAGAUAUCAGGAGGAACACCGGUGGCGAAGGCGGGUCUCUGGGCCGUUACUGACGCUGAGGAGCGAAAGCGUGGGGAGCGAACAGG
rnacentral:rRNA from 1 species